rnacentral:rRNA from 1 species
AACUAAUCCCAACACCACUCAAGAACCCUUACACAAUACUGAGUAAUUCUAUACCCCUAUAGAAGAUUUUAUGUUAAAACUAGUAACAAGAAGAAGAACUUCUCCUACGAUGCAAGUGUAAAUCAGACAGGACACCCCGCUGAUAAUUAACACCAAUGAACAAAAGUAGCAACUCAACAAGAAAACCCUACUAUUCCCUAUGUUAACCUAACACCAGAGCAUCACAGGAAAGAUUAAAAGAAAGAAAAGGAACUCGGCAAAUAUUAACCUCGCCUGUUUACCAAAAACAUCGCCUCUUGAUAAAAUAUAAGAGGUCCAGCCUGCCCAGUGACUCUGUUCAACGGCCGCGGUAUCCUAACCGUGCGAAGGUAGCGUAAUCACUUGUUCUUUAAAUGAGGACUAGUAUGAAUGGCACCACGAAGGUUAUACUGUCUCUUCUUUCCAAUCAGUGAAACUAAUCUCCCCGUGAAGAAGCGAGGAUAAAAAUAUAAGACGAGAAGACCCUAUGGAGCUUUAAACCACGCAACACCUGCUUUAACUUAACUAAAUUUCAGAAAACCCCUCUUUAUCCCAGCAGAAUGAUUGCCAGUUUUAGGUUGGGGUGACCGCGGAGCAAAAAACAACCUCCACAUUGAAAGGGCACCUACCCCUUAGCCAAGAGCCACACCUCCACGCACCAAUAAAAUGACAUUAAUUGACCCAAUAUAUUGACCAACGAACCAAGUUACCCUAGGGAUAACAGCGCAAUCCACUUCAAGAGCCCCUAUCGACAAGUGGGUUUACGACCUCGAUGUUGGAUCAGGGUAUCCCGGUGGUGCAGCCGCUACCAAAGGUUCGUU